rnacentral:rRNA from 1 species
UAAAGAUUCAUCGCUGAUAGAUAGGCAUGCGUUCCAUUAGGCAGUUGGCGGGGUAACGGCCCACCAAACCGACGAUGGAUAGGGGUUCUGAGAGGAAGGUCCCCCACAUUGGUACUGAGACACGGACCAAACUCCUACGGGAGGCAGCAGUGAGGAAUAUUGGUCAAUGGGCGUAAGCCUGAACCAGCCAAGUCGCGUGAGGGAUGAAGGUUCUAUGGAUCGUAAACCUCUUUUAUAAGGGAAUAAAGUGUGGGACGUGUCCUGUUUUGUAUGUACCUUAUGAAUAAGGAUCGGCUAACUCCGUGCCAGCAGCCGCGGUAAUACGGAGGAUCCGAGCGUUAUCCGGAUUUAUUGGGUUUAAAGGGUGCGUAGGCGGCCUUUUAAGUCAGCGGUGAAAGUCUGUGGCUCAACCAUAGAAUUGCCGUUGAAACUGGGAGGCUUGAGUAUGUUUGAGGCAGGCGGAAUGCGUGGUGUAGCGGUGAAAUGCUUAGAUAUCACGCAGAACCCCGAUUGCGAAGGCAGCCUGCCAAGCCAUGACUGACGCUGAUGCACGAAAGCGUGGGGAUCAAACAGGAUUAGAUACCCUGGUAGUCCACGC